CAUGGGGACAUGGGGAGAUGGGGACAUGGGGCACCGUGGUGCCAGUAGCAGAGGGAUACCAGGGGUAGGAGUAUCUGGGGAGGGGGUGCCGGGGUAGGGAGAGCCUUUGGGUGCCUUACAUGGGGUGGAGGGGCUGUGGGGGGCUGUGGGGUUCCCAUGGGGUUCCUAUGGGGUUCCCGUGGGUUUCCUAUGGGGUUCCUGUGGGGUUCCCGUGGGGUUCCUAUGGGGUUCCUGUGAGGUUCCUGUGGGGUUCCCAUGGGGUUCCCAUGGGGUUCCUAUGGGGUUCCCGUGGGGUUCCCGUGGGGUUCCUGUGGGGUUCCUGUGAGGUUCCCGUGGGGUUCCCAUGGGGUUCCCGUGCUAACACCCCAUGCCAGGCACGCGCUGGACAUCCGGGAGCACUACGAGCGGAAGCUGGAGCGCGCCAACAACCUGUACAUGGAGCUGAGCGCCCUGAUGCUGCAGCUGGAGCUGAAGGAGAAGGAGCUGCUCAGGUCAGCAGGACCCCCCCAGAACCCCCCCAAAACCCCCCCCCAAGCACCCCCCCAGCACCCCAAGUGUCCCCCGUAGCCGGGUGCUGUGGGACACGGGGGGGUCCCCAGGUCACAGCCACAUCCAUGCCACCCCCGAGCCCACGGGCACCCCUUUACCUGCACCGUGGGUACCCCUUAGGGUCAGCCCGCAGUUAUAGGGUCCCUAUAGGGCAGCCCUUACCUGCCCCCGGUGGCCGCAUCCAGCUGUGUCCCAUGGGUGCCCCGUGGCCGUUGCCAUUCCCAGUUCCCCCCCAUGGGGAACCCCAUAUCCAUCCCAUGGCCACCCCCAUGCCCCUUGCCACCCCUACAUCCACCCCAUGGCCUUGACUAACCCCAUAUGCACCCCAUGGCUAUAAUCAACCCUAUAUCCACCCCAUGGCCACCCUAUGGUCAUUGCCAAGCCAAGAUCCAUCCCAAGACCCCCCCAUGCCCCUUGCCACCCCAUGGCCUUGACCAACCCCAUAUGCACCCCAUGACGCUGGCCAAUCCUAUAUCCACUCCAUGGUCUUGACCAACCCUAUAUGACUAUGGCCACC
rnacentral:lncRNA from 1 species